rnacentral:rRNA from 1 species
GAUGAACGCUGGCGGCGUGCCUAAUACAUGCAAGUAGAACGCUGAAGCUUGGUGCUUGCACCGAGCGGAUGAGUUGCGAACGGGUGAGUAACGCGUAGGUAACCUGCCUCUUAGCGGGGGAUAACUAUUGGAAACGAUAGCUAAUACCGCAUAAAAGUCGAUAUCGCAUGAUAUUGAUUUGAAAGGUGCAAAUGCAUCACUAAGAGAUGGACCUGCGUUGUAUUAGCUAGUUGGUGAGGUAACGGCUCACCAAGGCGACGAUACAUAGCCGACCUGAGAGGGUGAUCGGCCACACUGGGACUGAGACACGGCCCAGACUCCUACGGGAGGCAGCAGUAGGGAAUCUUCGGCAAUGGGGGCAACCCUGACCGAGCAACGCCGCGUGAGUGAAGAAGGUUUUCGGAUCGUAAAGCUCUGUUGUAAGAGAAGAACGAGUGUGAGAGUGGAAAGUUCACACUGUGGCGGUAACUUACCAGAAAGGGACGGCUAACUACGUG